rnacentral:rRNA from 1 species
UACGUAGGGGGCAAGCGUUGUCCGGAAUCAUUGGGCGUAAAGCGCGUGUAGGCGGCCCGGUAAGUCCGCUGUGAAAGUCGGGGGCUCAACCCUCGAAUGCCGGUGGAUACUGUCGGGCUAGAGUGCGGAAGAGGCGAGUGGAAUUCCUGGUGUAGCGGUGAAAUGCGCAGAUAUCAGGAGGAACACCAAUUGCGAAGGCAGCUUACUACACAGUUAUUGACGCUGGAGGCACGAAAGCGUGGGGAGCAAACAGG